rnacentral:lncRNA from 1 species
AACUCAGUGAAGCAAUAUUAAUUCAGCACGUAUGAAAGUCAGUCCACGUGACCACCUUCUUGUCCAGGUUAUCUAGGGAUGAGGCCAUGUGUGAAGGCUGCUGAGAUGUAAGAACCUCGCAUCCUGCAGUUAAAUACAAGGUUGUGAGUCAGCCAGAAUUCUGCCAUUUGAUUCGGCUUGAGGACUCUGUUCAAUUUUCAAUUACAGAGUUUGCCACGGAAAAGAUUAGAAUCAGAGAUGUUAUAAAGACCUGUCCGACAUCAUUGCUACUAAGGAGCAGAUGAGAUUUGAACUAGAAGUUACUCCUUCUGAAGACCGAACCCCUACUUGUUUCGUUAUUCCAUGCUGCCUUCGUCUGUGAAAAUGGGAGCAAUUGAAAGCAUCUCAGCCUAAAGCAGAGCUGACCUAAGCCACUUAUUCCAAGUCCUCAUUCUCCAGGCCCCCAUCACAUUUUCUACUGGCCUUCUAAAUUCUGUAUUACCUUCCCAAUUCUAUGGGUCUGAGGCGAGACUAAAUAACAACAACAAUAACAUUGGUAGCUAAUAUUUUUGUAAGUCAAACUGUUCUAAGUGCUUCCAUGUACUAACUCAUUUAAUUAUCACAGUGAUAGU